rnacentral:rRNA from 1 species
AUUGAACGCUGGCGGCAGGCCUAACACAUGCAAGUCGAACGAGUGGCGGACGGGUGAGUAAUGUCUGGGAAACUGCCCGAUGGAGGGGGAUAACUACUGGAAACGGUAGCUAAUACCGCAUACCAUCGGAUGUGCCCAGAUGGGAUUAGCUAGUGGGGGGGGUAACGGCGCACCGAGGCGACGAUCCCUAGCUGUUCUGCGAGGAUGACCAGCCACACUGGAACUGAGACACGGUCCACACUCCUACGUGAGGCAGCAGUGGGGGAUAUUGCACAAUGGGCGCAAGCCUGAUGCAGCCAUGCCGCGUGUAUGAAGAAGGCCUUCGGGUUGUAAAGUACUUUCAGCGAGGAGGCGUUACUCGCAGAAGAAGCACCGGCUAACUCCGUGCCAGCAGCCGCGGUAAUAC